UACGUAGGGUGCAAGCGUUGUCCGGAAUUAUUGGGCGUAAAGAGCUCGUAGGCGGUCUGUCGCGUCGGCUGUGAAAAACUCGGGGCUCAACCCCGAGCCUGCAGUCGAUACGGGCAGACUAGAGUGCUGUAGGGGAGACUGGAAUUCCUGGUGUAGCGGUGAAAUGCGCAGAUAUCAGGAGGAACACUGGUGGUGUAGACGGCUUUCUGGACCGUAACUGACGCUGAGACACGAAAGCGUGGGUAGCAAACAGG
rnacentral:rRNA from 1 species